rnacentral:rRNA from 1 species
AGCUUUAGGGCUAGCCUUGGAGGAAGACGAAUGGAGGUAGAGCACUGAAUGAGGUAGGGGCCUAACCAGGUUACCGAACUCUAUCAAACUCCGAAUGCCAUUCGUUAAUAUCCAGGAGUCAGACUACGGGAGCUAAGUUCCGUGGUCAAAAGGAAAAGAGUCCAGAUCGUCAAUUAAGGUCCCAAAUGGAUAGCUAAGUGGAAAACGAUGUGAUUUUGCGUAAACAACCAGGAUGUUGGCUCAGAAGCAGCCAUUCAUUAAAAGAGUGCGUAAUAGCUCACUGGUCGAGUGAAAUUGCGCGGAAAAUUACCGGGGCUAAGUUAUCAACCGAAAUUGCGGAUUUGUAAUUUAUUACAAGUGGUAGAGGAGCAUUCUAUUGUAGGAUGAAGUCAGAGCGUGAGCACUGGUGGACGAGAUAGAAGAGAGAAUGCUGGAAUAAGUAGCGAGAGCAGGGUGAGAAUCCCUGCCGUCGAAAGUCUAAGGUUUCCUGGGGAAGGUUCGUCCGCCCAGGGUUAGUCAGGACCUAAGGAGAGGCCGAAAGGCGUAUCUGAUGGAUAGCAGGUUGAUAUUCCUGCACUAUAUAAUACUUAAAAGAUGCAACUGACGCAGAAGUGGAAGGUGAGCAAGGAAAUGGAAAAACUUGUUCCGCAAGGGGGAGUGAAAAUAAAGUAACGAAGCACCAAGAAGCACGCUGACGAGAAAAGGUUGUAGAUCUUGUAUUAUAUACUUGUACCGCAAACCGACACAGGUAGAUGAGGAGAGGAUCCUAAGACGAUCGGGAGAAGCAUUGUUAAGGAACUCGGCAAAUUGACCCCGUAACUUUGGAAGAAGGGGUACUGGUGUAACAGCCAGUCGCAGAGAAUUGUCCCAAGCAACUGUUUAACAAAAACAUAGGUUUCUGCUAAAUCGAAAGAUGAAGUAUAGGAGCUGACGCCUGCCCAGUGCUGGAAGGUUAAGGGAACGUGUUAAUAGUAAUAUGAAGCACCGAACUGAAGCCCCAGUGAACGGCGGCCGUAACUAUAACGGUCCUAAGGUAGCGAAAUUCCUUGUCAGGUAAGUUCUGACCCGCACGAAAGGCGUAAUGAUUUGGGAGCUGUCUCGACAAUGUCCCCGGCGAAAUUGUAGUACUAGUGAAGAUGCUAGUUACCUGCGACAAGACAGAAAGACCCCAUGGAGCUUUACUGCAGUUUGAUACUGAGUCAGGCUAAUUUAUGUACAGGAUAGUUAGGAGGCUUUGAGGCUUAAGCGCCAGCUUAAGAAGAGUCAACGUUGGGAUACUAACCUUAAAUUAGUUUGAAUCUAACUCGUGAUCGUAAUCCGGUCAGAGGACAAUGUCAGACGGGCAGUUUGACUGGGGCGGUCGCCUCCUAAAGAGUAACGGAGGCGUUCAAAGGUUCCCUCAGAAUGGUUGGAAAUCAUUUGCAGAGUGUAAAGGCACAAGGGAGCUUGACUGUGAGACUUACAAGUC